rnacentral:sRNA from 2 species
CACUGACCUCGUCGCCAUUGGACGGCGGUAAGUUGGAAUUAUCCGCGAGGUCAGUCCAA